UAUGACAUAUGAAGUAAAUGAAGGAAGACACAGUGUACUUGUUAAGAAGAGGAAAGAAUUGUCAUGUCAAUGCAAAAUAUUAAAUAAGAUACCUCUUACCUGUUGGGCUGUGUGCAAGCUGUGUAGAGCAUUCUAGGUUCUCAGAAUUCGUGAGCUGUCACCAAUGCUGCAGUGGGAUUUUGGUGAUAGAGCUAUCUCUCACCUUGUCUGCUCCUGAACAAAUUGAAACCAGGGCUCUAUCUCCACAUAUUUAAUGUCUCAGUGUAAGCAGAAGUUGCUGUGUAAUGCUGUGACUCUGACUUUUCUAAGGGAAAUUAACUGGUAAUGCCUGUUCACUUUGAAUUCUUUAUCUUUUCAAGCACUCAGCUCUAGGAGACUUCUCAAAUCUGGAGAAGAAAAGAGAUUGCUCAAUCUGAUAUACCCACACCUAAAUUCUCACGUGUGCCCAGAUUCUGUAGUGUGAGGGGCUGUUCAUGAACAUUCAUCUCCCAAGUAUU